GCCAGGAGUCCACAGCCUGAUAAUCACUGGACAGCCAGGAGACCACAGCCUGAUAAUCACUGGACAGCCAGGAGACCACAGCCUGCUUUUCAGCACCCCAACCUCUGGACAGCAAAGACACUCAGCAUUACAAUCAGUGGAAAGCCAAGGAGACCACAGGCUUUCAGCACCACCACCUGUGGACACACUGGAUUUCAGUACCACAACCUUUGGACAGCAAAGACUCUCAGUACCACAAUCAGCCAAGGACAGUCUGCUCAGUUCUACGGGCUCUCUCAACCAUCUUCUUCCACAAAUCAAACGGUAUCUGUAUCAGCCAGAAGUUCUCACACUAGCAGCAAUCAGCAGAUAACUGUACCAGCCCAAGGUUCCCUGUAAGUAUCAUUCAAGCAGAGUCAGUAUUAGCCAGUAACAUUCAGCCAGUGUUUGUAGCAGUAGGAGGUUUCCUAUGAGCAGCUAUCAGCAUUCGUUUGUACCAGCCAGAGGUUCCAUGUCAGCAGUAAUCAGUCUAUGUCUAUACUAUCCCAUGGUUUCCUACUAGCAGCAAUCAACAAGUGACUGUACCAGCCAGGAGUUCCCUAUCAGCAGCAUUCAGACAGUGUCUGCACCAGACAGAGGUUUCAAAUUAGCAGCAAACAGUCCGGAGUCUAUACCAGCCAGAGCUUCCCUAUCAGCAU